UUAAAGAAAUAGGAAAACCAAGGAAAAGCUUCUAACUUUUACCUUUAGCAGUGAAAUUCUGUUAUUGUUUCU
rnacentral:tRNA from 1 species